AUGAACGCUAGCUACAGGCUUAACACAUGCAAGUCGAGGGGCAGCAUCAUCAAAGCUUGCUUUGAUGGAUGGCGACCGGCGCACGGGUGAGUAACACGUAUCCAACCUGCCGACAACACUGGGAUAGCCUUUCGAAAGAAAGAUUAAUACCGGAUGGCAUAGUUUUCCCGCAUGGGAUAAUUAUUAAAGAAUUUCGGUUGUCGAUGGGGAUGCGUUCCAUUAGGCAGUUGGCGGGGUAACGGCCCACCAAACCAACGAUGGAUAGGGGUUCUGAGAGGAAGGUCCCCCACAUUGGAACUGAGACACGGUCCAAACUCCUACGGGAGGCAGCAGUGAGGAAUAUUGGUCAAUGGACGAGAGUCUGAACCAGCCAAGUAGCGUGAAGGAUGACUGCCCUAUGGGUUGUAAACUUCUUUUAUACGGGAAUAAAGUGAGCCACGUGUGGCUUUUUGUAUGUACCGUAUGAAUAAGGAUCGGCUAACUCCGUGCCAGCAGCCGCGGUUAUACGGAGGAUCCGAGCGUUAUCCGGAUUUAUUGGGUUUAAAGGGAGCGUAGGCGGGUUGUUAAGUCAGUUGUGAAAGUUUGCGGCUCAACCGUAAAAUUGCAGUUGAUACUGGCGACCUUGAGUGCAACAGAGGUAGGCGGAAUUCGUGGUGUAGCGGUGAAAUGCUUAGAUAUCACGAAGAACUCCGAUUGCGAAGGCAGCUUACUGGAUUGUAACUGACGCUGAUGCUCGAAAGUGUGGGUAUCAAACAGGAUUAGAUACCCUGGUAGUCCACACAGGAAACGAUGAAUACUCGCUGUUGGCGAUAUACAGUCAGCGGCCAAGCGAAAGCAUGAAGUAUUCCACCUGGGGAGUACGCCGGCAACGGUGAAACUCAAAGGAAUUGACGGGGGCCCGCACAAGCGGAGGAACAUGUGGUUUAAUUCGAUGAUACGCGAGGAACCUUACCCGGGCUUAAAUUGCAACUGACGGAACCGGAAACGGUUCUUUCUUCGGACAGUUGUGAAGGUGCUGCAUGGUUGUCGUCAGCUCGUGUCGUGAGAUGUUGGGUUAAGUCCCGCAACGAGCGCAACCCCUAUUGUUAGUUGCCAUCAUUCAGUUGGGCACUCUAGCGAGACUGCCGGUAAUAAACCGGAGGAAGGUGGGGAUGACGUCAAAUCAGCACGGCCCUUACGUCCGGGGCUACACACGUGUUACAAUGGGGGGUACAGAAGGCAGCUACACGGCGACGUGGUGCUAAUCCCAAAAGCCUCUCUCAGUUCGGAUUGGAGUCUGCAACCCGACUCCAUGAAGCUGGAUUCGCUAGUAAUCGCGCAUCAGCCACGGCGCGGUGAAUACGUUCCCGGGCCUUGUACACACCGCCCGUCAAGCCAUGAAAGCCGGGGGUACCUGAAGUACGUAACCGCGAGGAGCGUCCUAGGGUAAAACUGGUGAUUGGGGCU
rnacentral:rRNA from 1 species